UUUGAAUAGCGCAACAUCUCUUGUAUAAGCUCAUUAAUACGGUUUGAGCGUUUCGACCAGGCAACCCUAAAUUGCCCCAGGCUACAAGAGGCCGUUGUACCGAU
rnacentral:ncRNA from 1 species